UUGAACGCUGGCGGCAGGCCUCACACAUGCAAGUCGAACGGUAACAGGAAGAAGCUUGCUUCUUUGCUGACGAGUGGCGGACGGGUGAGUAAUGUCUGGGAAACUGCCUGAUGGAGGGGGAUAACUACUGGAAACGGUAGCUAAUACCGCAUAAUGUCGCAAGACCAAAGAGGGGGACCUUCGGGCCUCUUGCCAUCGGAUGUGCCCAGAUGGGAUUAGCUAGUAGGUGGGGUAACGGCUCACCUAGGCGACGAUCCCUAGCUGGUCUGAGAGGAUGACCAGCCACACUGGAACUGAGACACGGUCCAGACUCCUACGGGAGGCAGCAGUGGGGAAUAUUGCACAAUGGGCGCAAGCCUGAUGCAGCUAUGCCGCGUGUAUGAAGAAGGCCUUCGGGUUGUAAAGUACUUUCAGCGGGGAGGAAGGGAGUAAAGUUAAUACCUUUGCUCAUUGACGUUACCCGCAGAAGAAGCACCGGCUAACUCCGUG
rnacentral:rRNA from 1 species